UACGUAGGGGGCAAGCGUUGUCCGGAAUCAUUGGGCGUAAAGAGCGUGUAGGCGGCCAGAUAAGUCCGCUGUGAAAGUCCAGGGCUCAACCCUGGAAGGCCAGUGGAAACUGUCGGGCUAGAAUCCGGAAGAGGCGAGUGGAAUUCCCGGUGUAGCGGUGAAACGCGCAGAUAUCGGGAGGAACACCAAUGGCGAAGGCAGCUCGCUGGGACGGUACUGACGCUAAGGCGCGAAAGCGUGGGGAGCGAACAGG
rnacentral:rRNA from 1 species